rnacentral:rRNA from 1 species
UACGAAGGGGUGCACGUUGUCGUGAAUUAUUGGGCGUAAAGGGCGUGUAGGCGGGUAGAUAAGUCGGGCGUGAAAUCCCUAGGCUCAACCUAGGAACUGCACUCGAAACUGUUUAUCUUGAGUGCCGGAGAGGAAAGCGGAAUUCCUGGUGUAGCGGUGAAAUGCGCAGAUAUCAGGAAGAACACCCGUGGCGAAGGCGGCUCUCUGGGACGGUACUGACGCUGAGACGCGAAAGCGUGGGGAGCGAACAGG